AUUCCAGCUCCAAUAGCGUAUAUUAAAGUUGUUGCAGUUAAAAAGCUCGUAGUUGGAUUUCGGGGCGGCCCGACUGGUCCGCCGCGAGGUGAGCACUGGUCGGCCGCCCUUCCUCUCGGAAGCCCCGACUGCUCUUCGUUGCAGUGGUCGGGGAGUUCGGGACGUUUACUUUGAAAAAAUUAGAGUGUUCAAGGCAGGCCUUCGCCUGAAUACAUUAGCAUGGAAUAAUGGAAGAGGACUUCGGUCCCGUUUUGUUGGUUUCUUGGACCGAAGUAAUGAUUAAGAGGGACAGUUGGGGGCAUUCGUAUUUAAUUGUCAGAGGUGAAAUUCUCGGAUUUAUGAAAGACGAACGACUGCGAAAGCAUUUGCCAAGGAUGUUUUCAUCA
rnacentral:rRNA from 1 species